UCCACCACAUUCGCGUCUAGAUACUUCCCUAGCCUCGAGCUAGUGGUAUGUUGCUUAAAACACAUUCUUGAGCUAUUUUGAAGUGGUUAAUGUGAUGUGUCACGACGCUAGAUAAGCAACUCCGGUGAAGUUUACGACGCAGGAACGCAAAGUUGUGAGUUCAUGCUCCCCCUUUUCUUUAACUGUUUUUGGUUUUAUAACUCUCGGGGGUGAAAUACAUGUUACAAAUAUUAUAAUUUUUUUACAAGUAGUAAAAAUACAAGAAGCACUCUUGGUGAGAACGAGUACCGAGUGCAAUACGAAUCGAGAAUACAAAAAUACGAGAAGCACACUUGGUGAGAACGAGAACCAAGUAUGAUGUGCUUUAAGAAAUGCCUAGAAAUUACUAGAUCAUGUGAGCAUAGACUUAAUACUAAAAAUGCCAUAAAGUCUUGGUGAAAACUAGUACCAAGCCAUUAAAAACAUUCAGUAAUUAGGGACGAGGGUUAGAUCUAACGGGUACGGCCGAGCCCCACUCAUGGUCCUUAUGUGACCUCUUGAGUGCUUCGGUGUCCCAGUCGAGGUAAAUCGACACAGUCGAGGUAAAUCGACACAGUCGAGGGUAAUCGACACAGUCAAGGGAAAUUGACACAGUCGAGGUUAAUCGACACAGUCGAGGGUAAUCGACAUAGUUAAAGGAGCCAACACUAAUGCUCCAUAAGUCCUCACAUGCCUUAAAGGAGCCAACACUAAUGCUCCAUAAGUCCUCACAUGCCUUAAAGGAGCCAACACUAAUGCUCCAUAUGUCCUCACAUGCCGAAAUGUCUUUGUACAAACAUUCAAUUAGUACGUGGUGUACACAAGAAAACUUGAUUUUUGCAAGAAUACUUUAUUUAUACAAGAUACAUACCAUGUUUUCAUACUCGGUAUGCAAAACGCAUGAACUCGCUCAACUUUAUGUUGAUGUUUUCCAAAAUUACAUGUAUUUCAGGUGACAGGAUGGAUCUUGGGCGCAAGUGUUGUAACUAGAAGUAGA
rnacentral:lncRNA from 1 species